rnacentral:rRNA from 1 species
UACGUAGGGUGCGAGCGUUGUCCGGAUUUAUUGGGCGUAAAGAGCUUGUAGGCGGCUCGUCGCGUCGGGUGUGAAAACUUGCGGCUUAACCGCAAGCCUGCACCCGAUACGGGCGGGCUAGAGUUCGGCAGGGGAGACUGGAAUUCCUGGUGUAGCGGUGGAAUGCGCAGAUAUCAGGAGGAACACCGGUGGCGAAGGCGGGUCUCUGGGCCGAUACUGACGCUGAGGAGCGAAAGUGUGGGGAGCGAACAGG